rnacentral:misc_RNA from 1 species
GAUGAAGAACGUAGCGAAAUGCGAUAAGUAGUGUGAAUUGCAGAAUUCAGUGAAUCAUCGAAUCUUUGAACGCACAUUGCGCCCCAUGGUAUUCCGUGGGGCAUGCCGGUUCGAGCGUCAUUUACCCCCUCAAGCUCCGCUUGGUGUUGGGCGUCUGUCCCGCUUCGCGCGCGGACUCGCCCCAAAGGUAUUGGCAGCGGUCGUGCCAGCUUCUCGCGCAGCACAUUGCGCUUCUCGAGGCACCGGUGGGCCCGCGUCCAUCAAGCUCACCCCCCCAGUUUGACCUCGGAUCAGGUAGGGAUACCCGCUGAACUUAAGCAUAUCAAUAGCGGAGGA